rnacentral:rRNA from 1 species
UACGUAGGGGGCUAGCGUUGUCCGGAAUCAUUGGGCGUAAAGAGCGUGUAGGCGGCCCGGUAAGUCCGCUGUGAAAGUCGGGGGCUCAACCCUCGAAAGCCGGUGGAUACUGUCGGGCUAGAGUGCGGAAGAGGCGAGUGGAAUUCCUGGUGUAGCGGUGAAAUGCGCAGAUAUCAGGAGGAACACCGAUGGCGAAGGCAGGUCUCUGGGCCACUACUGACGCUGAGAAGCGAAAGCAUGGGGAGCGAACAGG